CACUCCUGCGGGAGGCAGCAGUGGGGAAUUUUGGACAAUGGGCGAAAGCCUGAUCCAGCAAUGCCGCGUGAGUGAAGAAGGCCUUCGGGUUGUAAAGCUCUUUUGUCAGGGAAGAAACGGUGAAAGCUAAUAUCUUUUGCUAAUGACGGUACCUGAAGAAUAAGCACCGGCUAACUACGUGCCAGCAGCCGCGGUAAUACGUAGGGUGCAAGCGUUAAUCGGAAUUACUGGGCGUAAAGCGUGCGCAGGCGGUUUUGUAAGUCUGAUGUGAAAUCCCCGGGCUCAACCUGGGAAUUGCAUUGGAGACUGCAAGGCUAGAAUCUGGCAGAGGGGGGUAGAAUUCCACGUGUAGCAGUGAAAUGCGUAGAUAUGUGGAGGAACACCGAUGGCGAAGGCAGCCCCCUGGGUCAAGAUUGACGCUCAUGCACGAAAGCGUGGGGAGCAAACAGGAUUAGAUACCCUGGUAGUCCCAUGAU
rnacentral:rRNA from 1 species